GAUGAACGCUGGCGGCGUGCCUAAUACAUGCAAGUCGAACGCUUCACUUCGGUGAAGAGUGGCGAACGGGUGAGUAAUACAUAAGUAACCUGGCAUCUACAGGGGGAUAACUGAUGGAAACGUCAGCUAAGACCGCAUAGGUGUAGAGAUCGCAUGAACUCUAUAUGAAAAGUGCUACGGAACUGGCAGAUGAUGGACUUAUGGCGCAUUAACUUGUUGGUAGGGUAACGGCCUACCAAGGCGACGAUGCGUAGCCGACCUGAGGGGGUGACCGGCCACACAGGGGCUGAGAGACGGCACAGAGUCCGACGGGAGGCAGAGGGAGGGAAGUUACGGAAAAGGGGGAAACCCUGCACGAGGAACGGCGCGUGAAGGAAGAAGUAAUGCGUUAUGUAAAAUGCUGUUAUAGAGGAAGAACGGUGGAGAUAGGGAAGGAGAGCCAAGGGAGGGUACUCUAUAAGAAAGCCACGGCUAACUAGGU
rnacentral:rRNA from 1 species